GCGCCUAUAGCUCAAUAGGAUAGAGCAGCGGAGUCCUAAUCCGCAGGUUGCAGGUUCGAUUCCUGCUAGGCGCACCA
rnacentral:tRNA from 1 species